AGCGAACGCUGGCGGUAGGCCUAACACAUGCAAGUCGAACGGCAGCACAGUAAGAGCUUGCUCUUACGGGUGGCGAGUGGCGGACGGGUGAGGAAUACAUCGGAAUCUACUUUUUCGUGGGGGAUAACGUAGGGAAACAAACGCUAAUACCGCAUACGACCUACGGGUGAAAGCAUGAGAUCCUCGGACCUUGCGCACUUGAAUGAGCCGAUGUCGGAUUAGCUAGUUGGCGGGGUAAAGGCCCACCAAGGCGACGAUCCGUAGCUGGUCUGAGAGGAUGAUCAGCCACACUGGAACUGAGACACGGUCCAGACUCCUACGGGAGGCAGCAGUGGGGAAUAUUGGACAAUGGGCGCAAGCCUGAUCCAGCCAUACCGCGUGAGUGAAGAAGGCCUUCGGGUUGUAAAGCCCUUUUGUUGGGAAAGAAAAGCAGCAGGUUAAAACCCCGCUGUUCUGACGGUACCCAAAGAAUAAGCACCGGCUAACUUCGUG
rnacentral:rRNA from 1 species